rnacentral:rRNA from 1 species
AUACGUAGGUGGCAAGCGUUGUCCGGAAUUACUGGGUGUAAAGGGCGUGUAGGCGGAGCGGCAAGUCAGAAGUGAAAUCUCUGGGCUCAACCCGGAAACUGCUUUUGAAACUGUUGCCCUUGAGUAUCGGAGAGGCAGGCGGAAUUCCUAGUGUAGCGGGGGAAUGCGUAGAUAUUAGGAGGAACACCAGUGGCGAAGGCGGCCUGCUGGACGACAACUGACGCUGAGGCGCGAAAGCGUGGGGAGCAAACAGGAUUAGAUACCCUGGUAGUCCACGCCGUAAACGAUGGAUACUAGGUGUGGGGGGACUGACCCCCUCCGUGCCGCAGUUAACACAAUAAGUAUCCCACCUGGGGAGUACGAUCGCAAGAUUGAAACUCAAAGGAAUUGACGGGG